rnacentral:rRNA from 1 species
GAUGAACGCUGGCGGCGUGCCUAAUACAUGCAAGUAGAACGCUGAAGGAGGAGCUUGCUUCUCCGGAUGAGUUGCGAACGGGUGAGUAACGCGUAGGUAACCUGCCUGGUAGCGGGGGAUAACUAUUGGAAACGAUAGCUAAUACCGCAUAACAGUAAAUAUCGCAUGAUAUCUGCUUGAAAGGUGCAAUUGCAUCACUACCAGAUGGACCUGCGUUGUAUUAGCUAGUUGGUGAGGUAACGGCUCACCAAGGCGACGAUACAUAGCCGACCUGAGAGGGUGAUCGGCCACACUGGGACUGAGACACGGCCCAGACUCCUACGGGAGGCAGCAGUAGGGAAUCUUCGGCAAUGGACGGAAGUCUGACCGAGCAACGCCGCGUGAGUGAAGAAGGUUUUCGGAUCGUAAAGCUCUGUUGUAAGAGAAGAACGAGUGUGAGAGUGGAAAGUUCACACUGUGACGGUAUCUUACCAGAAAGGGACGGCUAACUACGUG